rnacentral:miRNA from 1 species
AAGCAGGAGGUGUCAGAAAAGUUACCACAGGGCUAACUGGCUUGUGGCGGCUAAGUGUUCAUAGCAAUGUUGCUUUUUGAUCCUUCGA